GAGUUUGAUCCUGGCUCAGAGCGAACGCUGGCGGCAGGCCUAACACAUGCAAGUCGAGCGCCGUAGCAAUACGGAGCGGCAGACGGGAGAGUAACACGUGGGAACGUACCCUUCAGUACGGAACAACCAAGGGAAACUUUGGCUAAUACCGUAUACGUCCGUAAGGAGAAAGAUUUAUCGCUGAAGGAUCGGCCCGCGUCUGAUUAGCUUGUUGGUGAGGUAACGGCUCACCAAGGCGACGAUCAGUAGCUGGUCUGAGAGGAUGAUCAGCCUCACUGGGACUGAGACACGGCCCAGACUCCUACGGGAGGCAGCAGUGGGGAAUAUUGGACAAUGGGCGCAAGCCUGAUCCAGCCAUGCCGCGUGGGUGAUGAAGGCCCUAGGGUUGUAAAGCCCUUUCGGCGGGGAAGAUAAUGACGGUACCCGCAGAAGAAGCCCCGGCUAACUUCGUGCCAGCCGCCGCCGUAAG
rnacentral:rRNA from 1 species